AAAAUGGUGAGAACGAUAAGGGGAGUUCUGGACAGAGUUGCGAAGACCGCUCGGGGCCUGACCGACC
rnacentral:pre_miRNA from 13 species